CAGAACCCUGAGUCCCUUUCACUUCACCCUGGGUCAGGCGAGGAGCAUUCACACAAACAGUUCCUCUUUCUGAGCUGGGGCAGUGAUACCGUGUGGGUGAUGUAGGGAUGGCGACCUUCAUUGGGUGACAGAAGCACUCUGCACAAUGGCAACGCAGGCAGUGGCCCAACAGUGUCUUCAUCCAGCAGCUGAGUCAGAGCAGCCUAAUACAUGGCAGGAAGGAAAUAAGCCGUGACGGAGACAGAUGGAGGAGCCAGCUCAUCUCUGCAAGCUUGGAGAUGAGGCCUGGCUGGCCCUGAAAAAGCAUGUACAGGUGAAGAUGUGGGGAGAGUACAUCCAGCAGGAUCCAUGGAUGUAACCCAGCACUGUAGGCUUUCCUUGCCCAGCCAACCUAGUGCAGAGCAGUGCCUCAAGUCAACACAGGACACUUGAGAGGUGGCUGCAGCAAUGGCUGGUGAAUGUCAAAAUGUCAGAGACCUGCUCUACAGAGUGGAGUUGAUCUGCAGCCAUUACUUCCUUUGACUGUCCCUUGGACCUUUCCUUGAAGGCUUUAUUCCUUGCCACAACAAACCAAUGCUCCUGUAGCAUGGGGGAAACUUUGCUGCUCCAUGGGGGGACUGCUGGUCCCAGCCCCAACCCCAUAGAAUGAAGCAAUUCAUUGCAUCAGUGCAAGAACUGCCUGUGCUCAGCCUGUUGUUUUGGGGAGGGGGGUGCUCAAGUUGUUGGUAUGGUUAAAAUAAUCUCAGUGAAUCAUAGCUGUAAAAGCAAACUGGGAUUUACAUGUGUGUGUGUGUUUGUGUAUCUAUAGAUACUCACUGAAUGGACUGAGGCUGCUCUUAAAUCAAUCUGGAUCCCUAGGACUGAAGUUCAAAGUCGUUUCCCAAAUGAAUUUGAUUCUUUGUAUUUUUAAAGACAAACAGUCCUUGGGUUUUAGUUAUUUCCUUCCUCUGUGUUUGUAACAUCUGUCUGUAUCCAUAGAUGAAUUCUUACAAUCAUUCAUCAAGGUAUGAAAAAUGAAGCCAUUUCCUAAGUUCUUUGGAUUUAUCUGCUUAUUUUUCAACCAGUGGGAACAGAUAAAUUAAAUUGUUCUCUUAUUGCUUCUUUAUGGGACUCUUCACUCCCUUCACUACCUGGUGCUGUGCUGAGCAACCUGCUAGCCAAGCCUCCACGCAGUCCCUUGUGAUGAGUGGUGGCAACAUGGAAAGAGCCUGAGGAAGGUGGAAGCACCUUGGGAAAUGACAAAAGAAAUAGAGAAACAAAACAGCAACUCUACACAGACAGUGAAGGUGGUGUGAAGCCCCAUCCACAAACCAACAGUCCUGCAGAGCUACUUGCAGCACAACACUGCUCAGACAGCUGCUGCCUGUGAAACAAAGCCAGUUUCUGUCCUCUGCCUUUCAGAAGGUUGCAUUAAAGCCGCUCCACUUUCCCAGCGAAGGCCAACAUUGUUACUGUCCAGACGUUCCCUCCCUAUAACUGGAGGGCUCCUGGGAACCAUUAAAGCACCGCUGCCAGAAAGGAGGAGGACGGUGAUUGUUUCAAUCUGGGAACAGUCUACAGGACACCUAUUUGGAGGUUACUCUGUUCAUCACUCAUUGUCAGCAGUUGCUAGAAGAUAUCAGGAAAUGAAAGAAAGGACCCAAGCUAAAUUGUUCCCAAGUGAGAAAUGGAACAACCUAGCUGCCAGCUCUCCUACCCACAGCCCCUGGGCUGCAUGACAAAGGAGCUCACACAGAUCACCUCUUCCUCUACCCACAUCCUUGGGCUGUCUGCUUUUGUUUUGCUCUGAGAACUAGUUAAUGAUUUUCACCUGACUUCAGAUAGAAGGAACAGAGCCUGUCUGUGUGGCUCUGAUUUCUGUUUCAUUUAUCUCUGCAUGUGUUGCAUCUGUAGCUGUACUGAGGUUAUUUCUCAAAGAACACAUCCUGCAGUGCUCUAAGGGUAACCCGAGCACAGCUCUAAGGAAUUAAUAGACUCAGAAGAUCUGGUCAAUAUAACAACAACAACAAAAAGACCAAUUUUCUCCCAGGCAGCAGCCUAAUCAGUUUUAUCACAGCUCAUGCAUCUCUGGCAGUUGUUCUUUGAACAAGGCACGUUUGGGCUUAGUGGGCUGCCGUUGCGGCGUGUCUGGUUAAUUCAAUUAUUUCUGUGAUCACUUCUGAGAGAAGCACCUGUAGAUUAAAUUCCAUUCACUGUGUCUUGGACAUGAGCAUGAAAUGCAUUAGCUGCAGAACUCCCCUCAUUCCCCAGAGGGAACUGUGUAUUUGUUCACACACACAUCAACAGUAUUGCAGUUGCUCCCCGGCGAGUGCUUUCCAAUGCAAGAACAAAUUGCCACAUCGUCCCAUGUGCUUUGGUUACAUGCCCCCUGGUGACACUGACCUCUCCGAAAGACUUCACUCAGGGUCCGCAGCUCCACUACGUUGCUCUGUUGCAGCUGCAUGAGAUGUAACAUGGACACCUGGCCUGGAGUGAUGGACAUGAGCAGUCAGCUUUCAUUCCUGACAGAGCCUCAGAAACAGCAAAAAGAGUGGGUUCUCUCAAUGGGCUACAGGCUCAUAUUUCAGUAAGACAUAAAACAUGCAGUUUAUGAAUACCCAGCGAAAAAGUUGCAUGGAGUAGCAACAUAUUUUCUGCAGAAGGUACAAGCUGCUUUCAGGUAGCUCCAGCUUUUUUUCUCUCCCAUGGCAUUUGAGAACACAAGACCUUUUGUCUUGCUUUUGAGAACACUGUAGACAAAUAUCUUUGAGAGACAGCUAGUAGGUUGUGCUUUAUUCUCUUCACAAGCUUUGGGACCUUUUGCGUGGCAGAAAUAACAUUUUAUUGUUAGUUUAUAUCUGAA